rnacentral:lncRNA from 1 species
UUUAUGAACUUCAUCACGUACCCGUCGCCAUCAGGAAUGUUGCUCCUACAGCAGCAACAACAGGUAACCAUUUAUAAAUUAAAUGGACAGUCCAGCUAUAAAGUGGAUGGCACAAACAAGUUGGCCGCUUACCUAUAACUUUCUGCAACAACAAAUGAUUUUCAUCGUGACCCAACAUGUAAACAUCAGUCACUUGCCGCGGCAUCAGCUUCGGGCACCUUCUUCUUGAAGAUUUCUUCUUUGCCCCUGAAGAAGCAUCUGCCAGCAGCCUCAGCGUGCCUACAAUUUGCAUCAUCAUGCAUGCAAAAGUGUGUCAAUUUCAAUAUAGUAGGCUAGCUUUAUAAGGAAGAAAGGAACACUCCAUGCAUCCAUCUGAUGCAAAUAUUUGCACUAAAACUAUGAUGAACCUGCA